GCAACUCUGGGGGAAAAGCGUUCUGUGAUUGGACUGCAAGAGCAGAAGAUUUAGACAAACACGUAUCAGCAGUUACAGCGCGAUAGGGCGGGACUAUGCUUUGGAUGAUGUUCGGAGAAAAGAUGCUAAAAUUGGCUCUCAGAUUGAAUGAACUGAAUGAAUAUACAGGUUAUGGUUUGCCCUCGUUUCUUGGACGAAGGGACCAAUGCAGUGAGCACUGUGUCAACCAGCUGGAUAACUGACUCUGACCCAACAGAAACCUCCCCGCAGUCCUUCUAAAGUUAUCUGGCAAGGUGAAACUGGGGAAGGAAGGCACCAUCACUGUCUCAGUCCGUUGUUGGAAGACUGCAAAAGCACAAUCUACAGCCAGUGGGACGGCACGAGUGCUACUGAUGGAACUCUUUAAUGUUGAUGUUUUUCUGAACUUUAAGCAUACCUUUAUCUGUUUUUGUAUUAUACAUAUAGUAGUAUAUGGUAGUAUAUAUUCUUGAAUUUAUAGUGAAGUGUAUUGUUAAAUAUAUAAUAAAAUAAAUUGUGAUGUGUGGUAAUAGAUGGUAUGUGUAUUAUUGAUAGUAAUAUAUUAAAAUAUAUUCUUGAA